AUUGAACGCUGGCGGCAGGCCUAACACAUGCAAGUCGAGCGGAUGAAGGGAGCUUGCUCCUGGAUUCAGCGUCGGACGGGUGAGUAAUGCCUAGGAAUCUGCCUGGUAGUGGGGGAUAACGUCCGGAAACGGGCGCUAAUACCGCAUACGUCCUGAGGGAGAAAGUGGGGGAUCUUCGGACCUCACGCUAUCAGAUGGGCCUAGGUCGGAUUAGCUAGUUUGUGGGGUAAAGGCCUACCAAGGCGACGAUCCGUAACUGGUCUGAGAGGAUGAUCAGUCACACUGGAACUGAGACACGGUCCAGACUACUAAGGUAGGCAGCAGUGGGGAAUAUUGGACAGUGGGCGAAAGUCUGAUACAGCCAUGCGGCGUGUGUGAAGAAGGUCUUCGGAUCGUAAAGCACGUUAAGUUGGGAGGAAGGGCAGUAAGUUAAGACCUUGCUGUUUUGACGUUACUAACAGAAUAAGCACCGGCUAACUACGUG
rnacentral:rRNA from 1 species